rnacentral:rRNA from 1 species
AGAGUUUGAUCCUGGCUCAGGACGAACGCUGGCGGCGUGCUUAACACAUGCAAGUCGAGCGGAAAGGCCCUUCGGGGUACUCGAGCGGCGAACGGGUGAGUAACACGUGAGUAACCUGUCCUUGGCUUCGGGAUAACCCUCGGAAACGGGGGCUAAUACCGAAUAUGACUCUUGCCCGCAUGGGUGGGGGUGGAAAGUUUUUUCGGCUAGGGGUGGACUCGCGGCCUAUCAGCUUGUUGGUGGGGUGAUGGCCUACCAAGGCGACGACGGGUAGCCGGCCUGAGAGGGCGACCGGCCACACUGGGACUGAGACACGGCCCAGACUCCUACGGGAGGCAGCAGUGGGGAAUAUUGCACAAUGGGCGGAAGCCUGAUGCAGCGACGCCGCGUGAGGGAUGACGGCCUUCGGGUUGUAAACCUCUUUCAGCAGGGACGAAGCGUAAGUGACGGUACCUGCAGAAGAAGCGCCGGCCAACUACGUGCCAGCAGCCGCGGUA